rnacentral:rRNA from 1 species
GAUGAACGCUGGCGGCGUGCCUAAUACAUGCGAGUCGAGCGAACGGACGAGAAGCUUGCUUCUCUGAUGUUAGCGGCGGACGGGUGAGUAACACGUGGAUAACCUACCUAUAAGACUGGGAUAACUUCGGGAAACCGGAGCUAAUACCGGAUAAUAUUUUGAAUCGCAUGGUUCAAAAGUGAAAGACGGUCUUGCUGUCACUUAUAGAUGGAUCCGCGCUGCAUUAGCUAGUUGGUAAGGUAACGGCUUACCAAGGCAACGAUGCAUAGCCGACCUGAGAGGGUGAUCGGCCACACUGGAACUGAGACACGGUCCAGACUCCUACGGGAGGCAGCAGUAGGGAAUCUUCCGCAAUGGGCGAAAGCCUGACGGAGCAACGCCGCGUGAGUGAUGAAGGUCUUCGGAUCGUAAAACUCUGUUAUUAGGGAAGAACAUAUGUGUAAGUAACUGUGCACAUCUUGACGGUACCUAAUCAGAAAGCCACGGCUAACUACGUG